rnacentral:lncRNA from 1 species
AUUGCAGACAUGCCAUAAGAGUCUACAACAUAUAUCAAAGUCGUCAAUUUUUUCAAAGCUUCUUAGUGGCAAAAUGUAAUAGCAAAAGAAUAAAUUUUUCAUGCGGCAAAUGCCACUUAAUUAUAUAUGAAAUUAACUCCUUAUUAAAAAUCAAUCACAUAUAAGUAAAUAUUCAAAAUCAAAUUAAAAAAAUUUGAGGUAGUUGACCGCUAUCAUAUAACAAGAAUUCUUACUUAAAAAUACAUUGAGUAUUUUAUUGCAGAAGGUAAAUAGAAAAUGCACCAAUAAGAUCCUACCAAGUCAUAUUGAAUAUUAGAUAAAUUCUAAGUAAUUCUUAAUAAUCUUAAUAAAACUUUAAAUAAUUUAAAAGAAAUUCAAA